AUUGAACGCUGGCGGCAGGCUUAACACAUGCAAGUCGAGCGAGCGGCGGACGGGUGAGUAAGGUCCGGGAAAGUGACUGACGGAGGGGGAUAACUAAUGGAAACGGUAGCUAAUACCGCAUACUAACAGAUGAGCAUAGGUCGGAUGAGCUAGUUGGUGGGGGAUUGGCUCACCUCGGCGACGAUCCCUAGCUGGUCUGAGAGGAGGACCGGACACACUGGAACGGAGACACGGCCCAGACUACUACGGGAGGCAGCGGUGGGGAAUAGUGCACAAUGGGCGCAAGCCUGAUGCAGCCAUGCCGCGUGUGUUAAGAAGGCCUUCGGGUUGUAAAGCACUUUCAGCGAGGAGGCGUUACUCGCAGAAUAAGCACCGGCUAACUCCGUGCCAGCCGCCGCGGUAAUAC
rnacentral:rRNA from 1 species